GAUGAACGCUGGCUACAGGCUUAACACAUGCAAGUCGAGGGGAAACGACGGGGAAGCUUGCUUCCCCGGGCGUCGACCGGCGCACGGGUGAGUAACGCGUAUCCAACCUGCCUCUGACUGAGGGAUAACCCGUCGAAAGUCGGCCUAAUACCUCAUGGCAUCGUCUGCGGGCAUCCAACGACGAUUAAGGAUUUCAUCGGUCAGAGAUGGGGAUGCGUCUGAUUAGCUUGUUGGCGGGGUAACGGCCCACCAAGGCGACGAUCAGUAGGGGUUCUGAGAGGAAGGUCCCCCACAUUGGAACUGAGACACGGUCCAAACUCCUACGGGAGGCAGCAGUGAGGAAUAUUGGUCAAUGGGCGAGAGCCUGAACCAGCCAAGUAGCGUGCAGGAUGACGGCCCUAUGGGUUGUAAACUGCUUUUAUGCGGGGAUAAAGUGAGGGACGUGUCCUUCAUUGCAGGUACCGCAUGAAUAAGGACCGGCUAAUUCCGUG
rnacentral:rRNA from 1 species